CACGUAGGGGGCGAGCGUUGUCCGGAAUCAUUGGGCGUAAAGAGCUCGUAGGCGGCUCAGUAAGUCGGGUGUGAAACCCCCAGGCUCAACCUGGGGACGCCACCCGAUACUGCUGUGGCUAGAGUCCAGUAGGGGAGUGUGGAAUUCCCGGUGUGAGCGGUGAAAUGCGCAGAUAUCAGGAGGAACACCGAUGGCGAAGGCAGGUCUCUGGGCCACUACUGACGCUGAGAAGCGAAAGCAUGGGGAGCGAACAGG
rnacentral:rRNA from 1 species